rnacentral:rRNA from 1 species
CAGCAGCCGCGGGAAUACGAGGGGGGCAAGCGUUGUUCGGAAUUAUUGGGCGUAAAGGGUGCGUAGGCGGUUUGGCAAGUUUGGUGUGAAAUCUUCGGGCUCAACUCGAAGUCUGCAUCGAAAACUGCCGGGCUUGAGUAUGGGAGAGGUGAGUGGAAUUUCCGGUGUAGCGGUGAAAUGCGUAGAUAUCGGAAGGAACACCUGUGGCGAAAGCGGCUCACUGGACCAUAACUGACGCUGAUGCACGAAAGCUAGGGGAGCAAACAGGAUUAGAUACCCCCGUAGUCCCUGUCUCUUAUAC